GUCAAAAUAAAGAGAAGUUCAACCAUGAAGACCUCUCACAUGUGGAAGAAAUUCAGAGUUCAGAUCCAGUUGAAAUCUGUGACAGAAUGAACAUCUUAUGGUAUUUUGAAGAUUUCGGGAGCUAUAGAAGUCUGAUUAAGUUGAUUCAAAUUUUGUUGGAAAGUAGACAUCCGUAGCUUUUCAAUGACUAUAAGAACAUGAAAUU
rnacentral:lncRNA from 1 species